CCUACGGGGUGCAGCAGUCGAGAAUCAUUCACAAUGGGGGAAACCCUGAUGGUGCGACGCCGCGUGGGGGAAUGAAGGUCUUCGGAUUGUAAACCCCUGUCAUGUGGGAGCAAAUUAAAAAGAUAGUACCACAAGAGGAAGAGACGGCUAACUCUGUGCCAGCAGCCGCGGUAAUACAGAGGUCUCAAGCGUUGUUCGGAAUCACUGGGCGUAAAGCGUGCGUAGGCUGUUUCGUAAGUCGUGUGUGAAAGGCGCGGGCUCAACCCGCGGACGGCACAUGAUACUGCGAGACUAGAGUAAGGGAGGGGGAACCGGAAUUCGCGGUGUAGCAGUGAAAUGCGUAGAUAUCGAGAGGAACACUCGUGGCGAAGGCGGGUUCCUGGACAUUAACUGACGCUGAGGCACGAAGGCCAGGGGAGCGAAAGGGAUUAGAUACCCUUGUAGUC
rnacentral:rRNA from 1 species